rnacentral:rRNA from 1 species
GAUGAACGCUAGCUAUAGGCUUAACACAUGCAAGUCGAGGGGAAACGGCAUUAUGUGCUUGCACAUUUUGGACGUCGACCGGCGCACGGGUGAGUAUCGCGUAUCCAACCUGCCCUUUACUUGGGGAUACCCCGUUGAAAGACGGCCUAAUACCCGAUGUAAUUUAUUGAUGGCAUCAGAUAUGAAUAAAAGAUUUAUCGGUAAAGGAUGGGGAUGCGUCUGAUUAGCUUGUUGGUGAGGUAAAGGCUCACCAAGGCAACGAUCAGUAGGGGUUCUGAGAGGAAGGUCCCCCACAUUGGAACUGAGACACGGUCCAAACUCCUACGGGAGGCAGCAGUGAGGAAUAUUGGUCAAUGGGCGCAAGCCUGAACCAGCCAAGUAGCGUGCAGGAAGACGGCCCUAUGGGUUGUAAACUGCUUUUAUACGAGAAUAAUUUGAUGCACGUGUGCGUUAUUGCAUGUAUCGUAUGAAUAAGGACCGGCUAAUUCCGUGCCAGCAGCCGCGGUAAUACGGAAGGUCCAGGCGUUAUCCGGAUUUAUUGGGUUUAAAGGGAGUGUAGGCGGUUUGUUAAGCGUGUUGUGAAAUUUAGAUGCUCAACAUUUAACUUGCAGCGCGAACUGUCAGACUUGAGUACACGCAACGUAUGCGGAAUUCAUGGUGUAGCGGUGAAAUGCUUAGAUAUCAUGAAGAACUCCGAUUGCGAAGGCAGCAUACGGGAGUGUAACUGACGCUUAAGCUCGAAGGUGCGGGUAUCGAACAGG